AAGUCGUAACAAGAUUUCCGUAGGUGAACCUGCGGAAGGAUCAUUAUUGAAGUUUGGGCUCUUGAGCCUAUUCUCUUCUACACACUUGUGAACUUACCCUGUUGCUUUGGCAGGUUUCCAUUCAACUCUUGCGGGUUGUGUGGUUAGGUUGUGAGACGCCUGCCAAAGAUUUCUUAUAACUUUAUAAUUUGGUCUGAUUUUUGUUUUUACAAACGUAAUAAAA
rnacentral:misc_RNA from 1 species